CGGAAGUAAAGGCGGGGCGCCGGGUACCUCCCCAGGCGAUCCCUGGUGCGCUUACCCCAGGGCGAGGGACUGGUCCAGCCAAUGAAAACAGGGAUCUGACCGGGCACACCUUUCAAAGAGACCUGGAGCCAGCGUUAACGGAAUGCUUGGAGGGGGUCCUCUAAAGUCCAAGGUGCUGUCUGGAUGUUAGGCUGGGGGCAGUGACCUGGUGUGAAGGUUGCAGGUGGGCCUCUAUUUAGAUGGAACCCAAGAGCGGAAGAGGGUUCUGCUGCUGAGAAAACGUUUGGUGAACUUCACUACCCACUCCUGAUUCACUGAACAUGGUCACGGAUAUUCCUUUCAUGGGAUAAAGAAAAUAGUGGCAGACUCGGCAAGGUGGAUAUGACACCAGGAGUUGUGGCAGUCAUGUUGUAACACUGAGGCAGAACACAUGAAAAAG